rnacentral:rRNA from 1 species
UACGGAGGGGGCUAGCGUUGUUCGGAAUUACUGGGCGUAAAGCGCACGUAGGCGGCUUUGCAAGUUAGAGGUGAAAGCCCGGGGCUCAACUCCGGAAUUGCCUUUAAAACUGCAUCGCUAGAAUUGUGGAGAGGUAAGUGGAAUUCCGAGUGUAGAGGUGAAAUUCGUAGAUAUUCGGAAGAACACCAGUGGCGAAGGCGACUUACUGGACACAUAUUGACGCUGAGGUGCGAAAGCGUGGGGAGCAAACGGGG